rnacentral:rRNA from 1 species
UCCCGUACUUCUUACAAUUGCGAUGGGGGGACGGAGAAGGCUAGGUGGGCCUGGCGACGGUUGUCCAGGUUCAAGUGCGUAGGCUUAAGAGUUAGGUAAAUCCGGCUCUUUUUAAGGCUGAGACACGACGUCGAGCACCUACGGGUGUGAAGUCAUUGAUGCCAUGCUUCCAGGAAAAGCCUCUAAGCUUCAGAUUGUAAGGAAUCGUACCCCAAACCGACACAGGUGGUCGGGUAGAGAAUACCAAGGCGCUUGAGAGAACUCGGGUGAAGGAACUAGGCAAAAUGGUACCGUAACUUCGGGAGAAGGUACGCUCUUGACGGUGAAGUCCCUCGCGGAUGGAGCUAUUGAGAGUCGCAGAUACCAGGUGGCUGCAACUGUUUAUUAAAAACACAGCACUGUGCAAAAUCGUAAGAUGACGUAUACGGUGUGACGCCUGCCCGGUGCCGGAAGGUUAAUU